rnacentral:rRNA from 2 species
AGAGUUUGAUCCUGGCUCAGGACGAACGCUGGCGGCGUGCUUAACACAUGCAAGUCGAACGAUGAAGCCUUCGGGUGGAUUAGUGGCGAACGGGUGAGUAACACGUGGGAAAUCUGCCCUGAACUCUGGGACAAGCCUUGGAAACGAGGUCUAAUACCGGAUAUGACCGUGGAGCGCAUGCUCUGUGGUGGAAAGCUCCGGCGGUUCAGGAUGAUCCCGCGGCCUAUCAGCUUGUUGGUGGGGUAAUGGCCUACCAAGGCGACGACGGGUAGCCGGCCUGAGAGGGCGACCGGCCACACUGGGACUGAGACACGGCCCAGACUCCUACGGGAGGCAGCAGUGGGGAAUAUUGCACAAUGGGCGAAAGCCUGAUGCAGCGACGCCGCGUGAGGGAUGACGGCCUUCGGGUUGUAAACCUCUUUCAGCAGGGAAGAAGCGCAAGUGACGGUACCUGCAGAAGAAGCACCGGCUAACUACGUGCCAGCAGCCGCGGUAAUACGUAGGGUGCGAGCGUUGUCCGGAAUUAUUGGGCGUAAAGAGCUCGUAGGCGGCCUGUCGCGUCGGAUGUGAAAGCCCGGGGCUUAACCCCGGGUCUGCAUUCGAUACGGGCAGGCUAGAGUGUGGUAGGGGAGAUCGGAAUUCCUGGUGUAGCGGUGAAAUGCGCAGAUAUCAGGAGGAACACCGGUGGCGAAGGCGGAUCUCUGGGCCAUUACUGACGCUGAGGAGCGAAAGCGUGGGGAGCGAACAGGAUUAGAUACCCUGGUAGUCCACGCCGUAAACGUUGGGAACUAGGUGUUGGCGACAUUCCACGUCGUCGGUGCCGCAGCUAACGCAUUAAGUUCCCCGCCUGGGGAGUACGGCCGCAAGGCUAAAACUCAAAGGAAUUGACGG